AGCCCUGCUCAUUUCUCUUUGGCGUUCUCUCUGGCCACCAGGUUUUCUGGGACUUGGUCUUUAUUUUAAACAGUUUGUAGAUAGAGACGAUGGAAUUUUGAAGUUAAUAGAAAGAAGCUGCAGUGACACUAUUAAUCCAAGAAAAAGUCUGCCAAACCUUACUUUACACUUUGAGAAAAUGUUUUGCUUGUUUUCAGUCUGGCCUCAUCACAGUCAUUUUGAACACACACACACACACACACACACAUACACUGUAGUGGGUUGAAUGGUGGCCCCUCAAAAGAUACAUUCACCUGGAACUUGUGAAUGUGACUCUAUUUAGAAAAAUGGUUUUUGCAGAUCUAAUAAGGAUCCUGAAAUGAGAUCAACCUGGAUUAUCCAGGUGGGCCCUAUAGCUAAUGACAAGUGUAGUAUAAGAGACAAGAGAAGACACGGGAGGGCAGAAGGCAAUGUGAAGACAGAGGCAAAGACUGGAGUGAUGCAACUGCAAGCCAAAGAAUCCCUGGAGCUGUCAGAGAUUGGAAGAGGCGAGGAAGCUUCUCCCCUGAGUCUUCAGAGGGAGCACAAGCCUGCCGACACGGUGAUUUUGGACUUCUGGCCUCCAGAACGACCAAGAAUCUCAGAUGGACAUUUUAAAGUAGAACAUAGGAUGAACUGGUUACCCCGGAAACCAGGGAAGGAAAAAAAAACCGAUCCAAGUGCAGUGUUAAUAAACAGCUUAGCGUGCAAAAAUAUAAUAGAAGAACGUUCCAGGUUACUCUGCUGCUGUCUUGGUUUUGGGGCCAAUGAAAAUGUCACCCCCUCAGUGAGACUUCUCCUGUUUCCCCAGCAAAAUUCGUCACUGUACCCUCUGGGCUUCCAUCAUAAGAUUGUCAAGAAAUUAUCCCAAGUUGGAUGGACAGGACUGUUCCAGCUGAGGCUUUCGUAGCUGUGUAUUAUAUGGGUACAUUCCAGUGUCUGCAAGGAAAUUUCUUACAGGUCGUGAGGGAACACACAAUGUCUGUGGCAUCAUCUUUACAUUCUGUUAAACAAAUGGCCUCCUUUAUAUUCAUUUGAAUUGAGAAACAGCCAUGUCAUAUUCAAAUGUUUUAAAAAGCAAAUUUUGGAAGUUAUUACAAAAUGUGUGUGUGUUUGACAUUUGUAAAUGCUGAUUGGAAGAGAAAUUUUAAACCAACCUCUGGAAGGAUGACAAAGAAUUAAGGAUCUAAGGUUGAAAAAAAAAAAACAACAACAUUCAGACAUCACUGGACAGUUGUACUAACUGUGGACAGGAUGGCAAAUACUCCUUGAAAUGGACGGGGCUGCUGAAGCUCCCCCUGUGUGUGGUGACAGAGCAGGGAGGCAAGCCAACUUUUGGGACCUGAGCGCAUGAUCUUUUCACGAUUCUGUGUUGUAUCCAAGAGUUGGCUGGGGUCAUGACACUGCCUUAUUUGGCUAUGACCUCUCAGGCAAAGCAUUUAACCCGAGUUUCGUAAUCUGUGAAAUAAAAGGGGCUCAACUAGACACUCCUUAGACCUAACAUUUUGAGUCUAGUUUCGCAUAGAAAUACCUCCACAGUGAAAGGUUGCGGGCUGCGUGCCCUACGGCGGGAGCCUGAAUGAAAUCUCUCUUCCUCUGCUCUUCCUUUUCUUUCUCCGGUGAAAGGGGAAUAGUCAUGCUCAUGUGUAAUAAA
ensembl:lncRNA